rnacentral:misc_RNA from 1 species
CAUUAACACUCUCUCUCCUUCUCUUUUUCUCAGAGCAGAAUAGGAGUGGGUUUGUAGUGAGGGUUUGGUAGUCAAGAGAGAGAAAAAAAAAUGGCAGCGGGUAGUGUAAUUUCCAUUGCAACUCUACUAAUGUCUCUAAUAUGGAUGGCUGAAGCUAGAAUUCCUGGCGUUUAUACUGGUGGUGAUUGGCAAAAUGCUCAUGCUACUUUCUAUGGUGGUGCUGAUGCCUCUGGAACCAUGGGCGGGGCUUGUGGGUAUGGCAACCUGUACAGCCAAGGCUAUGGGGUGAACA